UACGUAGGGCGCGAGCGUUGUCCGGAUUUAUUGGGCGUAAAGAGCUCGUAGGCGGCUUGUCGCGUCGUCCGUGAAAACUUGGGCUCAACCCAAGCUGCGGUCGAUACGGGCAGGCUGGAGUUCGGUAGGGGAGACGUGGAAUUCCGAUGGUGUAGCGGUGAAAUGCGCAGAUAUCAGGAGGAACACCGGUGGCGAAGGCGGGUCUCUGGGCCGAUACUGACGCUGAGGAGCGAAAGCGUGGGGAGCGAACAGG
rnacentral:rRNA from 1 species